rnacentral:rRNA from 1 species
AGUAAUGCUUGGGAACAUGCCUUGAGGUGGGGGACAACCAUUGGAAACGAUGGCUAAUACCGCAUAAUGUCUACGGACCAAAGGGGGCUUCGGCUCUCGCCUUUAGAUUGGCCCAAGUGGGAUUAGCUAGUUGGUGAGGUAAAGGCUCACCAAGGCGACGAUCCCUAGCUGGUUUGAGAGGAUGAUCAGCCACACUGGAACUGAGACACGGUCCAGACUCCUACGGGAGGCAGCAGUGGGGAAUAUUGCACAAUGGGCGCAAGCCUGAUGCAGCCAUGCCGCGUGUGUGAAGAAGGCCUUCGGGUUGUAAAGCACUUUCAGUCAGGAGGAAAGGUUAGUAGUUAAUACCUGCUAGCUGUGACGUUACUGACAGAAGAAGCACCGGCUAACUCCGUGCCAGCAGCCGCGGUAAUACGGAGGGUGCGAGCGUUAAUCGGAAUUACUGGGCGUAAAGCGUACGCAGGCGGUUUGUUAAGCGAGAUGUGAAAGCCCCGGGCUUAACCUGGGAACUGCAUUUCGAACUGGCAAACUAGAGU